rnacentral:rRNA from 1 species
UACGUAGGGUGCGAGCGUUGUCCGGAAUUAUUGGGCGUAAAGAGCUCGUAGGCGGCCUGUUGCGUCUGCUGUGAAAGCCCGGGGCUUAACCCCGGGUCUGCAGUGGAUACGGGCAGGCUAGAGUUCGGCAGGGGAGACUGGAAUUCCUGGUGUAGCGGUGAAAUGCGCAGAUAUCAGGAGGAACACCAGUGGCGAAGGCGGCACUCUGGGCCGGUACUGACGCUGAGGAGCGAAAGCGUGGGGAGCGAACAGG